AAUGAACGCUGGCGGCAGGCCUAACACAUGCAAGUCGAACGGGACCUUCGGGUCUAGUGGCGGACGGGUGAGUAACGCGUGGGAACGUGCCCUUUUCUACGGAAUAGCCUCGGGAAACUGGGAGUAAUACCGUAUAAGCUUGAGAGAGGAAAGAUUUAUCGGGAAAGGAUCGGCCCGCGUUGGAUUAGGUAGUUGGUGGGGUAAUGGCCUACCAAGCUGACGAUCCAUAGCUGGUUUGAGAGGAUGAUCAGCCACACUGGGACUGAGACACGGCCCAGACUCCUACGGGAGGCAGCAGUGGGGAAUCUUAGACAAUGGGGGAAACCCUGAUCUAGCCAUGCCGCGUGAUCGAUGAAGGCCUUAGGGUUGUAAAGAUCUUUCAGAUGGGAAGAUAAUGACGGUACCAUCAGAAGAAGCCCCGGCUAACUCCGUGCCAGCAGCCGCAGUAA
rnacentral:rRNA from 1 species